GGAGGGUCAGAUCUUUUUUUGCUGCAUUAUUUACAGCCGCACGAGUUAAAACAGCAGAUUCAGCUCAGAAAUGAAGCUAGUUUUGAUAGUGCUUUUAUUAUUCCAUGAUUUUUCAGAUGCUGUAAAUAUUCACCAGCCUCCAUCUGAGUUGGUCAGAGAUGGAGAACAGAGUGUGACCCUCAAGUGUGAGCAGGACAGUGAUCAGAUUUACUACAUGUACUGGUACAGACAAGCAAGCAGUGGGGAAAUGGAGUUAGUGGCGUAUUCUGCUAGUAAAGAUGCAUCAAGCAUUGAAGCUCCAUUCAACAACUCUAAAUACACCAUGACCCGUCGAGAGCUGCGGAGAACUGAGCUGCAGAUUCACCCUGCUGAGGCCAAAGACUCUGCUGUGUAUUACUGUGCUUAUAGCACCACAGUGCUUCAAGCUGCUGCAGAAGCUUAACAAUUACCUCUGGAGGAAACAACAGACGUUUUGGAAGA